CACACACACGGAGGGAGGGAAGGAGGCAGAGUCUGCAUAUGCCUCAGCUGACCUGCUUUACUUGAUAGGUACAUAUGAAAAUGCAUCUCUUCUUUACAUUUAUAUGUCAUGUAGAAUGUGAAAUAUAAACAGGUGCUCUGCAUUAAGGAAACCUGUCUUUGGCACUCAAGAUAAAUCAUGCAGAUAUAAACCCACAUCUAUUUACUUUGCAUAAUUUCAUCAGCUUUCAAGACUCCGGGUUUUUUUUAAAGAAAAGAAAAGAAACUGAUUUAUUAAUUUAUUUUCAUUGUCUAGGGACUGAAGAUGGGAAUAAAAGGAAAGGAAUUUGCGGGAGGGAACGCCAGAUGGAACUUGGGGGCAUAAAAAUAAUAAUGGGCACACAUGAACACAUAUGCUUUGAAUGUAAUCCAAAGUAAUUAGAUUAUUUUCCUGGCAGGGCAGCUAUAUGUCCAGGGUCCUAAUCUGAAGGAGGUGGGGACUGUGCAGCAGCCUUCAGGGUGCAAAUUAGGCUCCCCACUCCCCGACCUUGAAGCUAUUUCUGGAGGCAUUAGGGGCUGGUAGGUUCAUUGGCUGAAGGGCAUUACAGGUUUUCAGGCCCCAGUGGCUCCCUUAUAUUCAUAUGCCCAGUUGGGAAAACUGGAAUUGUAGUUCCUAUGGUUCACAACUACCCUGGAUAGAGCAUACUUGCAUGCAGGGGAGGGGUCUACGGUGCUGGUGAAGCCUGCAAUCUCUAAAUUAUGCCAUAAUUUGAAAUGAAGGAGUUUUGCAUAUAUAUGCAAGCAGAGUUCAUUUCCACCCCCCACCCCUUAAUAGCCAGUUACUUUUUGUGAUUGCCGGGACUCUACAACUCAGGAGUCUUGUCCCUGACAUCACCUUAGGCUUCUGAAGUACACUGUGAGAUCAGGGAUGAUCUUGAAGCUUGCCCAUGUUGCAUCAUUCUUCCAAGGUGCUUGGAGCAGUUUCAGAGCAUAGUGUAACUGAGGCCAUCUCUUUUCUCCAACUCCCAAGUUCAGGAGGUAUGCUGGGGUUUGAUCACUGGUUGGUGCUCACUGUGACAAGCCUGGUGAGUGAAUAAUUUUUGGACCAUCAGAACACCAUGACCUAGGUAGUACUUGUGCACUUGAGACUCUGCCAUUUAGCAGAGCAUCCCUGAAGGCUGAUAAAUUUUGGGGGACAGGAAAUAGAAAUGCAUGUCUCCAGUGGUAGAAAAAGGGAAUUGGGAUAUUGGAGCAAUCUUUUUUAUGAUCUGGGCCUGAAGCUUGGUAGGAUCUUGACACAAUGCAUAAAAAGGCCAGGGUAGUUCACUUCUAAGUUCAUGGUUACAACCUCCUUCCAGUUCCAGAGUUCAGUGCUAUCAAUCCCCAAGGAUUCUACAUUUUAAAAUAAAAUUGUGUGCUGGAUAAAGGACUGCUUCUGUUUCCUGUCAUUCUUUCGUGGAAGCACUUGAACAUGCUUUGGAUGUUCUGUGAAUGCAUAAUUUGCACAUUGUGAUCCACUUCUAGAUUCUCCUUGCCACUACUAAAACUUAGCUGGGGUAUCAUCACAUCAAAAUCUUUGGAUACCGUUAUGUCCCCAAUCCCAGAGAGUCUAUUAAAUAGGGUGGUGGAGGUCUAGUUGUGAUUCAAGAACAACGUCUCAAAUAAUUAGUGAUGAUCUUAAUGUGGAAUUUAUGUUCCGGUGGGCUUUUUGUAGUUAUACCAGCAAGGCACUUUCAAUAUUUGCAGGCAAAUCCUAUUGAUUUCAGUGGGCCUUGGCUUGCCUACCUACUUAUUUGUCCUGGCCUUUGGCUUAGAAUUACAGAUCCCCUCAGUAUAUUUUAAUAUUCCGUUCAUAUUAGAAUAUGGAAAACAACUGGUUCUUUUUUGUCUUCUUCGACUCUUCUUUCUCUUCGACCUAGGGACAACUUAUCUCUUGUCCUCUGCUCAGUCUGAAUGGCAAAAGCCUUCCCAGGUUGGAAUAAUGUGAUGCUGGCAGGGGGAGGGGGCAGCCCUGGCGUCUCCUGGGGGCUUUGGAGGGCUAAGCCAGGAAUGAAUGAUUGGCCUCGCCAAAGUGUUUAAACACCAGAAUUGAAAUUAAUGUCCCCUCAUUGCUGGCUGGGCUGAUGAUAUGUUACAGCAAAGCACCUCACUAAAGUGAAAUGAAUGUUUGUUUAUCCUCAUGAAAUAUAUAUCAAAACAUGUUGGUGGUGGAAGUCUUAAUGAGCGGAAGCACUGGGUUGCGUUUGUUUCAGACCUGGGGGUGCUGUCCCACAACUUCAUUUUGGAACUUUCCCCCACGCUAACCUGUCCGCAGCUGUGUUUCCUGCGCAUUAAUAGGACUUUAAUGGAAAUGCCGGCUCAUCUGUCCAAAGAAAUUGAUGAGCAUUUCACAAUCAUAUUAAUCAUCUCAUUGCAGAAAGAAAUGAAGGGGAGGAGCCACUGGCUUAAUGUCAGCUGCCACUCUUAAGUACAGCACUGCCAAGUGGAACUGGCUGGAUUGUGUAAGGAAAAGGGUGAAACCUCCACUUCAGGAUGACCCUAUGGACUGACUGGAUGAGGAAAAUUCUGGGCUUCUAUUUAACAUGAAAAUCAUUAAGAUCCUGCCAAUAAAUCCAUUACUGUUAAUUAUAUUGAGAGGGCUAACGAUUUGUCAACAAUAUUCUCCCAUUGAUUUUCAUUCAUGCCAGAUCAGGUCCUUGGCUUUAAUCUCUGCUGGGUGUUUUUAGCUCUUUCCAGUGAUGCAAUUCUCCCUUUUCUGGUGAUACAGUUUCCCUCUAAGUGCUGAAUGUUUCUUGAUAGGGAACAAGCUACAUUUCUUUAUGGCUUAUGGCAAACUGCCUUGAUUACUUCUACUGUUGUACCCAUUAUGUGAAUUAAAUAUGUAUUCAGUUGCACACUGCUUGCGAUGUUAUUGCAGGGUGACAUAUGGUACCAACUCAAUUAGAAUGAAGCUAGCAUUAGAUAACCCUUCUGACUGCUUGCCUCCCGACCCAUUCUUUGGGCUGGCUGCUGUGGUGUCAGCUGAUUUCGCAUUAAUGGCAGGUCACAGUUCUUCAGUGCUAGCAUCCUGGCUGUGUUUGCAAGGGGCUGUGAGUGAGUGUGACAAGGGAUAACCCCCCUGCUUGUGCAGCCUUCUUGUUCCAUCACUUGCUCCCUAUUUUACACAUGACAUAACUAUGACUCCAAGCUUUGCUAUUUCCCCGCAAGAUGCUCUUUACUAGGAGCAGGGGUGCCAGAAUGCAAGGCCAAUUUGGGGGCCAAUGUUGUGAUGUCACGAGGAGCUAGGGGUGGAGCCAAAUGCGGCGGCCAUGCAGCUUCAAUGGCCAGCAGCUCCUUCUCUGCCUCCUCCUGGCGCUGCCACCAGCAAGAAGCUGCUUUGACCAUCCUUCCCCUCUGCAGCUGGAGGAAGAGGAGAAGGAGCUGGCCGCUGGAGCCGUGUUGUGCUUGGCUCUGCGCUUCACGGACAUAGGAGAGGCCUGGCCCCAACCCCCAAAAUAUUGAAGGGGCCCUAAAGGGCUCAGUCCCCAGGUGCUGGUGGCCCUGACUGGGAAUAGCAUUUCCAGAGGAAAAUAGCCGCUGAGAUAUUUUGGGUGGGAAAAUGGCAUGGGACUGAAAGAGUUAAACCAAAUAUGCCAUGGUCCCAAUCUGAUUUGGUACCAGAUUGGGAGAUGGUAUUCAUGAUACCAAAAGGAAAUAUUUGGUAUCAUGAAUAUCAACCCAUGGCAAGACCAGCUUUUAUUUCCCAGCACACACCCACACCCACACCCACACCCACACCCCUUUGUGUGUGUGUAAACUAUAGAACAAGAGAAUGAAAGUGUAUUUUAACAAUUUUUUGCAGUGCAUCUCCUCUUCCAGACAUGAAUUAUGAAAUGAAUUACUUGGGGUGCAAAUGUUUGAAAAUGCACAUUAAUUCAUACUGCGUGCACACACAAAUACUCAUAGCCAUGGAAAAUGAAAGCUGAUUUUGUUAAAUAUUCAUAAUUCUUUUUCAUCCUAUUUCAUCCUUUGAACAUGUUGAAAAUCAGAGGUUGAGGUGAGUUUAGAAGUUGUUUCUUUCAGAUAGCAGACCCUGCAGGACGACUUGCUGCUGCUGCUGCUGCUGCUGCUGCUGAAUUAAUAUUGCCACCUAUUGGCAUGUGCUCUUCUGGUGGUUCACAGAAGGAAAAAAUAAAAAAUUAUAUUAAAAAAGAUACAGUUAUUAAAAUACAAAAGAGGCAAUAACCAUACCAAUGCAUGGUGUUAAAAAAAUACCUUUGCGCUAAACCUUGUCUUUGAGCCUAUGCAAAGCAGACACUACACAGGCAGUAUGUAAGGAAGGAAGUCCUGCCUCCUACUGCCUGGGGCCAACUAUGGAGCAGAAAGAUGCCUCCUUGACAACUCAGUGUCCUCUCACAAUCAUUUCAACCCUUGGCAGAUGGAUGAUUUAAUAAUAGUACUGGUUAUGGUCGUGAUGAUGAUGAUACUCUAUUAGAAGAAUCCACACAACCCAAAAAACAACAACCCUACGUGCUUUAUUAAAAGUGUAUCUGAAGGAAGUGUGCAUACACACGAAAGCUCAUACCAAUAACAAACUUAUUUGGUCUCUAAGGUGCUACUGGAAGGAAUUAUUUUUAUUUUUAUUUAUUAAAAGUAAAAUGAAGCCCAGGCCCAGGCACACCUUCUUCCAAAAGAUACACGGUACUUAAGGGAGUGUGACACAUCAAAGGGUAAGGAAAUGAACCCAGAAUAGCAGAAGCUGCCAUUGCUGUUCCUUGGUUCCUAGGAGGAAACAGGGCACCUUGAGUUGCCUGCAAGUCCACCAUACUGGCUGCAAAAGCAAAGAGAGCAGGGCAGGGUGGGAAAGGGAGUAUGUUGUGCAGGGAAAAUGCUCUUCUUUUAUCUCCCCUUGAAGUGCUUUCCAAAUUCCUUUGCGUCUGUCAGGUGGUUAGGAUCCUGCUCCUCCCAUGCAUGUAGCUUUCUCCCUUUCCUCCUUUGUGAAAAAAUAAAAUAAAAAUAUAUUGAAAGCCCCAGCAGAAAGCAGGCUGUGAUGCUGUCGUCCACAGCGUUGAUGUUAUUUAUUUUCCUCAGUUGCUGCUCUGGAAGCCCGGAGUUGACAGAGCGGUUUUGUAGAAUAGAAACAUUAUAGACUGUUACUGUCAGAGUGUUAAAUGUGAUGGAUAGAGAAAUAGAGAAGAGGGAGGGGACUUUAUACUAGCCAUGUCUGAGCGCCAGGGUGCUCAUGGGAAAAUAAACCAUCCGCAUAUAAGAAAUGAAUGAGGUAAUGUGGCGGGAGCUAAUGGGCUCUUGCAACGCGCCAGAACAGAAAUGCUUAUUACAGGAUGGGCUUAACCCUUGCCGUGCUCCUCGUUCCCUCGACACAUUUUUAUAUUGCCACUAGCAAAAUGCCCGUCGUUGUCAUGGGCAGUCCGUGUGUGCGUGUGUUCCUGGAUAUUUAAGGCAGUGGGGUGGGGGACAGGGACAGCGUGCAUUUCUCACCCCUUGAAUAUAUGUUGUCAGCCACCUAAUGUGCAACACACAGUUGUCCCAAAGUGCGGCAUUGCAUCUCAAGGGAGCAAAUGGCAGCUGUCCACUUAUAAGGAAGAAAACGAAGGAGAAGCAGUCAGGAUCGCCAGUGGGUUCUAAGCAUUCCCUUUGCUCCUGGUGACACGUCUUUGGAGCAAAUAAUAAAUUGAUCCUCCUCCCAGUUAUGGCCUGGUCAGAUCCAGGUCAGCUACUAUGGUAUAGCCCAGGGGGUGCCCUCCAUAUAUUUUGACCUGCAGUUUCCAUAAUCCCUGACCAUGCACCAUGCUGGCUGGGUCUGAUAGGAGUUGUAGCCCAUAGCACCUGGACAACAUUGGCUAUCCCGGUGUGACUUAUGCCUGUGAUCACAUGAGUGUGAUGAAAGAUGCGUGCUCCCUCCCAAUGGCAUGGUUCCAGUCUAGAUUCCCGCAAGGCCUCUAUUCACACGUGUACUUGUUUACAUUAUUUGAACAAGUUCACAUCUGUUUUGGCCCUCAGAUGGAUUUUUCUGAGUUUCUUAAUAAUUGAUCCAAAGUUUGAAGGUGCUUCCAGGUGUCAAUGUGUCCAGAGGUUUUUAAUGUUUGAUGUUUUAUUAUGUUGUUGUAUGUGUUGGAAGCCACCCAAAGUGGCUGGGGCAACCCAGCCAGAUGGGUGGGGUAUAAAUAAGAAAAAUAUUAUUCUUAUUCUUAUUAAUGUGCACAUUCCAAAGCUGUGCAUAUUUUAAAGCACCUUCCUCUACCUGGUGCCAUCUCAAUGAUUUGGAGCGUGACUCCCUUCUGCUCUAACCAGUAAGAUCAUAGGACUGUAGAGUUGGAAGAGACCCAAAAGGUAAUCAGUCCAACUCCCCUCAAUGCAGGAAUCUCAGCUAAAGCAUCCAUGACACAUGAUGAUCUCAAAGAAGGUGAGCCCACUGUUGAACAGCUCUUACUGCCAGAAAGUUCCUGAUGUUUAGCUGGAAUUUAUUUCUUCUUCUUUUUUUGUUACUUGAAGCCAUUGGCUUGAGUCCUAGCCUCCAGAGCAGGAGAAAACAAUCUUGCUCCAUCUUCCAUGUGACAGCUGAGAAGCAUUGAACUCUCAAAUCAGCUCUGAUCUUACUAGGUAGACUUAGACAAGCGGCCGUAUCUUGGAUUUUUGUGUUCUCUGCAUGAUUUACUUGAUUCUUAACUAUAUGCAUGGCCUAAUGUCCUUGAGUGAUCUACUUAAGCAUUUUGAAUCCUCUCUAUGGCUUUAGUGAUCAUCCUUCAAGUGUGUUCACUCACCUUUAUUUUAGUUAUGGACUUUUAAUUCUUGCUUUCUAUGCUUCUGUCACAAUUGUGUUUGUCGAUUUGUAUUGUCCUGUUGCUGGAAUGUAUGUAAAGCUUUUUGAUAGGAAAUGGGUAUUUUUUAAAAUAAUAUCUUAUUCAAUAAUAUAUAUAUUUAAAAACAAAACAAAAACCCAAACACGCAACAAUGUGCAAUGGUGUGUUUUGGUUUGGGGUAGAUAGGAAGGAGAGCUGGACAGUGAUGCGAACCUUGGUUUUGGAACUGGGGAGUUAUAUACAUGUCUCUAAGCAUGACUCUAUGAAAUGUUAGGAGAAUACAGUUUAGUAAUCCGGACAAGCUCAGUAACAAUGCUUACUUAUUUAUUGCAUUUCUAUCCCACUUGCCCCCCCCCAAGGAACUCAAUGUGCCAUAUAUGGUUCUCCCCCUCCUCAUUUAAUCCCCCCAACAAUCCUGUUAUGUAGGUUAGGCUGAGAGGUAGUGACUGGCCCAAGGUCACCCAGUGAUUUUCAUGUCUGAGUGGGGAUUUGAACCCUUGUCUCCCAGGUCCUAGGCCAACACUCUACUCACUAAACCACACUCAUUCAAUGUUAUCAUCACUAUCAUUUUUCAAGACUAUUAUUAUUGCCUUUGAAGUUUUCUGGAGUUUAACAGCAUUACAGUCUGCUGUAACAAUGUCACAUUAACACACUACAGUAAAAUUAUUUUAUUUAUCAUUCUGAAAAAGGGAAAAGAAAAGUGUGGCUCUUUUUAGUCUCACCUGCAAAUUUGCAUUUGCUUUUCAGUCCCCCUGGUCUCUGCCCUUUUCCUGCAGGGCUCAACUCUGGAACCAGAUUUUAUUUUUAUUUUUUAAAAAAUUGUCUUGAAAGACAAGUUGGUAACCAUGUGACACUGCCAGGCCCCUCUAAGUUUGGGAUCCUGCUGACAUUGCAAAUUUGCCAUCAUACCAGUGUCAGUUCUCUGGGCAAGUUUAAAAGUGUACAUAUAAUCUGAAAUCUUUCAUAGGCCCAGUGAUCAGAUAUUCUGAACUCCAGAUCAACAUUCUCCUGUGCAAACAUUUUGUGCCUUUUCUCUAUAGUCAUAAUGGCUAAAUGAAAGCUAAGAUUUUCAGGCCAACAAUAGGUACUUUGGAUAGCACACAAGAAGCCCAACUUUAUGAGCUACAGCCAUGCUGUAAAGGAAUGUGUCCAAUAUAACAAGGUAUCCUUGCGUAAUCCAGACUGGGACUUGCAUUAAGAAGACUUGGGUUCAAGUGCCAGCCCAAUCAAGAAUUUAAUAAGUGGGCCUGUCCUUGUCGCUGCCAAUUAUCCUCAAUUGCUGUCUGAAAAACGAGAAUAACUAUGAUAAAACUCAUAAAGCUGCUAUGAGAAAUCAGUUUCUUAGUCCUCCUGGCCCUUUGACACAGCCUUAGAAACCUGGGACCAAGGUAGAAAGCUGUUUAGUGUGCAUAGCAGGAAUCCAAAACCAUGGCUUGUUAGCAUUUAUUUAUUUUAUUUUAUUCCUUUGAAAGGGUUCUUACACAUCUCCAAAGAUUCCAGUGUCAGCUCAACUCUGUUGUCUAAUCAGAUGCAACUUUAACGUUUCCUGUGGCAUCUCGCAGUUAUGCUUUUGUGUGCUCGAGAGAGGGCUAAGUUUCAGGGGGAUAUGAAAGGAAGACCUGCCCCCACAUUUAUGGCUGCUGCCCGAAAGAAUUAACUUGUCUCCCCACCAACCCACUUGCAGCCUUGGGAAACAUUCUUGCAAAUUCGUUUUUAUGACUGUCCCUGAAUCACUUUUGGAUCAAAUGACGAGUAAAUGUAAUCAUUUAUUAAUUUUUUCCCCCAAGAAAAGGCAGCUCAGACUUAGCGUUAUUUGGUAAAACGUGCAAUUGAAGCUUGUCACAAGUAAUUUAUUCUUGCUUGCUGUAAUCUGAAGGAAUACAGACACAAGACCUAUAGGAU